rnacentral:rRNA from 1 species
CCUACGGGAGGCAGCAGUGGGGAAUUUUGGACAAUGGGCGAAAGCCUGAUCCAGCCAUUCCGCGUGAGUGAAGAAGGCCUUCGGGUUGUAAAGCUCUUUCGCAAGGGAAGAAAACUUACCAUCGAAUAAAUGGUGAGGCUGACGGUACCUUGAUAAGAAGCACCGGCUAACUACGUGCCAGCAGCCGCGGUAAUACGUAGGGUGCGAGCGUUAAUCGGAAUUACUGGGCGUAAAGCGUGCGCAGGCGGUUUUGUAAGUCAGAUGUGAAAUCCCCGAGCUCAACUUGGGAACUGCGUUUGAAACUACAAGACUAGAAUAUGUCAGAGGGGGGUAGAAUUCCACGUGUAGCAGUGAAAUGCGUAGAGAUGUGGAGGAAUACCAAUGGCGAAGGCAGCCCCCUGGGAUAAUAUUGACGCUCAUGCACGAAAGCGUGGGGAGCAAACAGGAUUAGAUACCCUGGUAGUCCACGCCCUAAACGAUGUCUACUAGUUGUUGGUGGAGUAAAAUCCAUGAGUAACGCAGCUAACGCGUGAAGUAGACCGCCUGGGGAGUACGGUCGNAAGAUUAAAACUNAAAGGAAUUGACCGGNNGAGACGNGCGAGACGACGACGAGGGAGAGG